AGUGAACGCUGGCGGUAGGCCUAACACAUGCAAGUCGAACGGCAGCACAGUAAGAGCUUGCUCUUACGGGUGGCGAGUGGCGGACGGGUGAGGAAUACAUCGGAAUCUACUUUUUCGUGGGGGAUAACGUAGGGAAACUUACGCUAAUACCGCAUACGACCUACGGGUGAAAGCAGGGGUUCUUCGGACCUUGCGCGAUUGAAUGAGCCGAUGUCGGAUUAGCGAGUUGGCGGGGUAAAGGCCCACCAAGGCGACGAUCCGUAGCUGGUCUGAGAGGAUGAUCAGCCACACUGGAACUGAGACACGGUCCAGACUCCUACGGGAGGCAGCAGUGGGGAAUAUUGGACAAUGGGCGCAAGCCUGAUCCAGCCAUACCGCGUGGGUGAAGAAGGCCUUCGGGUUGUAAAGCCCUUUUGUUGGGAAAGAAAAGCAGCAGGUUAAUACCCCGCUGUUCUGACGGUACCCAAAGAAUAAGCACCGGCUAACUUCGUG
rnacentral:rRNA from 1 species